UACGGAGGGGGCUAGCGUUGUUCGGAAUUACUGGGCGUAAAGCGCACGUAGGCGGCUUUGCAAGUCGGGUGUGAAAUCCCCAGGCUUAACCUGGGAACUGCAUUCGAGACUGCAUUGCUAGAGUAUGGGAGAGGGAAGUGGAAUUUCCGGUGUAGCGGUGAAAUGCGCAGAUAUCAGGAAGAACACCCGUGGCGAAAGCGGCUCUCUGGAACGGUACUGACGCUGAGACGCGAAAGCGUGGGGAGCGAACAGG
rnacentral:rRNA from 1 species